CAGAGGUUACUGCUAUCGAGRYUSGRCUAAGCCAUGCGAGUUGAAUGUUCUUCGUGAACAUGGCGGACUGCUCAGUAACACGUGGACAACCUACCCUUGGGUCCGGCAUAAUCCUGGGAAACUGGGAAUAAUUCCGGAUAGGUCACCGAUGCUGGAAUGCGCGGUGGCCGAAAGCUCCGGCGCCCGAGGAUGGGUCUGCGGCCUAUCAGGGUUGUAGUGGGUGUAACGUACCUACUAGCCUACGACGGGUACGGGUUGUGAGAGCAAGAGCCCGGAGAUGGAUUCUGAGACACGAAUCCAGGCCCUACGGGGUGCAGCAGGCGCGAAAACUUUACAAUGCGGGAAACCGUGAUAAGGGGAUCUCGAGUGCCAGCAUAUAAUGUUGGCUGUCCAGAUGCCUAAAAAGCAUCUGUUAGCAAGGGCCGGGCAAGACCGGUGCCAGCCGCCGCGGUAACACCGGCGGCCCGAGUGGUAACCGCUAUUAUUGGGUCUAAAGGGUCUGUAGCCGGCCAGGUAAGUCCCUUGGGAAAUCUGGCAGCUCAACUGUCAGGCUGCUAGGGGAUACUGUUUGGCUUGGGACCGGGAGAGGUGAGAGGUACCUUGGGGGUAGGGGUGAAAUCUUGUGAUCCUCGAGGGACCACCAGUGGCGAAGGCGUCUCACCAGAACGGGUCCGACGGUAAGGGACGAAAGCUAGGGGCACGAACCGGAUUAGAUACCCGGGUAGUCCUAGCCGUAAACGAUGCUCGCUAGGUGUCAGUCACGGUGCGACCGUGAUUGGUGCCGUAGGGAAGCCGUGAAGCGAGCCACCUGGGAAGUAUGGCCGCAAGGCUGAAACUUAAAGGAAUUGGCGGGGGAGCACWMCAMCSGGUGGAGCCUGCGGUUUAUUG
rnacentral:rRNA from 1 species